CCCAGGGGCUGCUGCAUAAAAUUGUCACUCAUUCCCAUCUCCUUGCUGCUAGCUUCGUCCUGAAAUAAGGAAUGGAGAAGAAAUAAUAUAAAAGAAGCAACUUGUGAAUUUUAAGCACCAUAUGAAUUAUUCUUAUUCAGUGGCAGAAUCAGAAUUAAAACUCAUGUCUGCUGACUUUCA